rnacentral:rRNA from 1 species
AGUUCGGAUUGGAGUCUGNAACCCGACUCCAUGAAGCUGGAUUCGCUAGUAAUCGCGCAUCAGCCACGGCGCGGUGAAUACGUUCCCGGGCCUUGUACACACCGCCCGUCAAGCCAUGGAAGCCGGGGGUACCUGAAGUGCGUGACCGCAAGGAGCGUCCUAGGGUAAAACCGGUGACUGGGGCUAAGUCGUAACAAGGUAUC